rnacentral:rRNA from 1 species
UGGGGAAUUGUUCGCAAUGGGCGCAAGCCUGACGACGCAACGCCGCGUGGAGGAUGAAGAUCUUCGGGUCGUAAACUCCUGUCGAAUGGGACGAACGGGUUGCGGGUUAACAGCCCGCGACCGUGACGGUACCGUUAAAGGAAACCCCGGCUAACUCCGUGCCAGCAGCCGCGGUAAUACGGGGGGGGUAAGCGUUGUUCGGAAUUACUGGGCGUAAAGGGCUCGUAGGCGGCCAACUAAGUCAGACGUGAAAUCCCUCAGCUUAACUGGGGAACUGCGUCUGAUACUGGAUGGCUUGGAUUUGGGAGAGGGAUGCGGAAUUCCAGGUGUAGCGGUGAAAUGCGUAGAUAUCUGGAGGAACACCGGUGGCGAAGGCGGCAUCCUGGACCAACAUUGACGCUGAGGAGCGAAAGCCAGGGGAGCAAACGGGAUUAGAUACCCCCGUAGUCC